rnacentral:lncRNA from 1 species
CGUUGAACCAUUUGGAAUCGUUAAGGAAUACUCGGAAACACAUAUAUCACAUACAAUGCCAUAUCCCAGAUAUGGUCUUACAAGUUAUCACAUAUCAAUUACUCUGUCCCAGAUAGGGUCUUACACGUAAUCUCAUAUCGAUGGCAAUGUCCCAGACAUGGUCAUACACGAAAUCACACCACGGAAGUCCUAAUGUCAUAACAUAUGUAUCCUAUACUAUUCUUAUGGUUCGUACGGGGCUUUCGGACGUUGUAAUUCAAUCAAUUCAAACUCGAAACAAAUCUUCCCAUGCUUAAUUCAAUUUGGCACAUAUAUAUAUUUAAUUACAAUUCAAUUCGGC